rnacentral:rRNA from 1 species
GGCUAACGCUGGCGGCGUGUCUUAGCCAUGCAAGUCGAGCGGACUUAUGGGGUAACUUAUAAGUCAGCGGCGGACGGCGGAGUAACACGUAGCUAACCUACCCUCUGGACGGGGAUAACCUACCGAAAGGUGGGCUAAUACCCGAUGUAGUCAUCCUGUAUAGGGGUGAUGAAAGGUGGGCUUCUGUUUACAAGCUCAUGCUGGAGGAGGGGGCUGCGGCCUAUCAGGUAGUUGGUAGGGUAAUAGCCUACCAAGCCGAUGACGGGUAGCCGGCCUGAGAGGGUGACCGGCCCGAGGGGCACUGAGAUACGGGUCCCACUCCUACGGGAGGCAGCAGGCUAGAAAUUUGGGCAAUGGGGGAACCCUGACCCAGUGACGCCGCGUGCAGGAAGGAGCCCUUCGGGGUGUAAACUGCUGUCGUGUAGGGAGAAGGGUACUAAGGUGAACAAUCUUAGUACUUGACGGUACUACAGGAGGAAGCCCAGGCUAACCUCGUGCCAGCAGCCCGACGGUAAAAUAGCGUACU